GAGGAAUAUUGGUCAAUGGGCGCAAGCCUGAACCAGCCAUCCCGCGUGCAGGAAGACGGCCCUAUGGGUUGUAAACUGCUUUUCCAGGGGGAGAAUUUUUCUGUCGUGACAGGAAUUGACGGUACCCUGGGAAUAAGCAUCGGCUAACUCCGUGCCAGCAGCCGCGGUAAUACGGAGGAUGCGAGCGUUAUCCGGUUUUAUUGGGUUUAAAGGGUGCGUAGGCGGAUUGAUAAGUCAGUGGUGAAAACCUGCAGCUUAACUGUAGACUAGCCGUUGAUACUGUCAGUCUUGAGUGUGGUCAAGGUAGGCGGAAUGUGUAAUGUAGCGGUGAAAUGCUUAGAUAUUACACAGAACACCGAUUGCGAAGGCAGCUUACUGGGCCAUUACUGACGCUGAUGCACGAAAGCGUGGGGAUCGAACAG
rnacentral:rRNA from 1 species